AGUAUUUAGUUUAGUUCCAAUUCUAUAUUUUAGUUUAGUUAGUUCAAAUUAGUUGGGACUAAAAAUAAUUUUGCUGUCAUUUUAAGUAAAUCUCGUGCGGCUCGUAUUUACAUCGAGUCGUUCGAGAUUUACUUUUAUUGAUGGUGAAAUAAGCAUCACAUUCGAUAUUUGAUUUAGUUUUGAAGACACGUGAUCGCCCUUCUUCUGGCCGGAAUCAUGGUCUUGAAGAAGAUCAUGUCCCAGAAGGGAGGUGGCGGCGGUGGUCACGAGAGCCACGGUUGGUCUUCUGGCGGCAGCAGCGGCGGAUGGGACAGACGGUCCUAUGA
rnacentral:misc_RNA from 1 species